CACGAACGCUGGCGGCAUGCUUAACACAUGCAAGUCGAACGCGGGUUCUUCGGGACCGAGUGGCGCACGGGUGAGUAGCGCGUGGGAACCUGCCCUCUUGUGGGGAGUAACCGAGGGAAACCGUACGGCUAAUACCGCAUAAGCCGGAGAGAUCCGGGAAGAAUUAUCGCGAGAGGAGGGCCGCGUCGGAUUAGCUUGUUGGUGGGGUAACGGCCUACCAAGGCGGAUGAUCCGUAGCUGGCUGAGAGGAUGAUCAGCCAGACUGGGACUGUGACACGGGCCCAGACUCCUACGGGGAGGUAGCAGUUAGGGAAUCUUGGGCAAUGGGCGAAAGCCUGACCCAGCAACGCCGCGUGGGUGA
rnacentral:rRNA from 1 species